rnacentral:rRNA from 1 species
UACAGAGGUCUCAAGCGUUUGUUCGGAUUCAUUGGGCGUAAAGGGUGCGUAGGCGGCGCGGUAAGUCGGGUGAUGAAAUCUCGGAGCUUAACUCGAAACUGCAUUCGAUACUGCCGUGCUUGAGGACUGGAGAGGAGACUGGAAUUUACGGUGUAGCGGUGAAAUGCGUAGAUAUCGUAAGGAAGACCAGUGGCGAAGGCGGGUCUCUGGAC